ACGGGUGAGUAACGCGUAUCCAACCUGCCGUCUACUCUUGGACAGCCUUCUGAAAGGAAGAUUAAUACAAGAUGGCAUCAUGAGUCCGCAUGUUCACAUGAUUAAAGGUAUUCCGGUAGACGAUGGGGAUGCGUUCCAUUAGAUAGUAGGCGGGGUAACGGCCCACCUAGUCUUCGAUGGAUAGGGAUUCUGAGAGGAAGGUCCCCCACAUUGGAACUGAGACACGGUCCAA
rnacentral:rRNA from 1 species